CGAGAACUUUGUCCUCUUCCAUCAUCCACAUGUCCCGAGAGUCCAGAAACGUAUAUGGUGUCUSCCUGGGACAAGUGCACACUAAUACUGUCUCUCCUUUUUAUCUAGGCUGCUGUGCUCUUGGGCAUCACUGCAGUAGCUGAAAUCCUGCUAGAUGGGCCAGGCAAGAUAAAAUGCAGAGCUGGGAGACAUGCGUGGACUCCUCGGCACRGACACACUUACAAGGACAGAUCCAGUGCCUUCAAGGAAACCACCUCACGCUGUAUUAGCAGGCAUUCUCUGUCAGUCCGGCUUUGGGUUCCCAUCUCCAGGCUAAAGCUGCAAAACCAGCUACCUCCAAGUUCACGGUGYCUUGGAGGCUCCCGUGCUCCUGCUUUCCCUGCGCUCCAGCCCCUGCAAAGAGGCAGCUGCUCCCGUUUCCUGUGCACGGUAAAAGGCCACCUUGGAGCAAAGGUGACUGUGCUGGAUUUGCAGCUGGGAAGACGGUUGUCACCACCCAGGUGCGUCCGUUGCACCGGCCUGGGAGGAAGGUGGGAGAGACCCACCGACGACAAGCACGGCGGAGAACUCAGGUAGGAGCAGCGUUCGGUCAGCAACGGAGAUAGAAAUUUUGAGAAAACCCUGUGAAGAGA
rnacentral:lncRNA from 1 species